GAUGAACGCUGGCGGCGUGCUUAACACAUGCAAGUCGAACGGAAAGGCCCAAGCUUGCUUGGGUACUCGAGUGGCGAACGGGUGAGUAACACGUGGGUGAUCUGCCCUGCACUUCGGGAUAAGCCUGGGAAACUGGGUCUAAUACCGGAUAGGACCACUUCUUGGAUGUUGUGGUGGAAAGUUUUUUCGGUGUGGGAUGAGCUCGCGGCCUAUCAGCUUGUUGGUGGGGUAAUGGCCUACCAAGGCGUCGACGGGUAGCCGGCCUGAGAGGGUGUACGGCCACACUGGGACUGAGAUACGGCCCAGACUCCUACGGGAGGCAGCAGUGGGGAAUAUUGCACAAUGGGCGCAAGCCUGAUGCAGCGACGCCGCGUGGGGGAUGACGGCCUUCGGGUUGUAAACUCCUUUCGCUAGGGACGAAGCGUUUUGUGACGGUACCUGGAGAAGAAGCACCGGCUAACUACGUG
rnacentral:rRNA from 1 species